rnacentral:pre_miRNA from 1 species
AUUCAAGUAUUUUGCCAGCCAGGCUCCUGGCUAAAGUCCAGCUCUUAGCUGGAUUUAGCCAAAGCCUGGCUGUAAACGACUAAAG